rnacentral:rRNA from 1 species
CCUACGGGUGGCAGCAGUGAGGAAUUUUGGUCAAUGGACAGAAGUCUGAACCAGCAACGCCGCGUGCAGGAAGCCGGCUCCAUGAGGUGUAAAUCGCUCUUGUACAAGGGUAAACCUGAAUACGUGUAUUCAGCUGAAAGUACUGUACGAAUAAGGAUAGGCUAAUUCUGCGCCAGCAGCCGCGGUAAUACGGAGGAUUCAAGCGUUAUCCGGAUUUAUUGGGAUUAAAGGGUGCGUAGGCGGAUUGAUAAGUUAGAGGUGAAAUGUACAGGCUUAACUUGGGAACUGCCUCUAAUACUGGUGAUCUAGAAAGUGGAUGCGGUAAGCGGAAUGUAUGGUGUAGCGGUGAAAUGCUUAGAGAUCAUACAGAACACCGAUUGCGAAAGCAGCUUACCAAUCUAUAUCUGACGUUGAGGCACGAAAGCGUGGGGAGCAAACGGGAUUAGAUACCCGUGUAGUC